rnacentral:misc_RNA from 1 species
GCGAGUAUGGCCCUCACGGGUCUAAUCCACCACAAACACCUUUGUGAACCAGUCAGGGGGACUCGGCCGUGAAAGCCCAGACGAUUAGCGGAAGGGCCCUCCUUUGCAAACCCGUUUAGAAGUCUUGAAAGUACUUUUGUAUAAUCUAGCA